AAGUCGUAACAAGGUUUCCGUAGGUGAACCUGCGGAAGGAUCAUUAACACAAGUAAAAAAACAUUUUUACAACACCCUAUUAUGAAUUUAAAUUUUUUAAUUUUAAUUUUAAUUUUUUUAUAAAACUACAAAAAAAAUAUUUAAUUUAUUUGACUAACAUUUUUUUUAAUUAAUUUAUUUAAAAUUUUAUAAAACAACUCUUAACAACGGAUAUCUUGGCUCUC
rnacentral:misc_RNA from 1 species